rnacentral:rRNA from 1 species
CCUACGGGUGGCAGCAGUCGAGAAUCAUUCACAAUGGGGGAAACCCUGAUGGCGCGACGCCGCGUGGGGGAAUGAAGGUCUUCGGAUUGUAAACCCCUGUCAUGUGGGAGCAAAUUAACAAGAUAGUACCACAAGAGGAAGAGACGGCUAACUCUGUGCCAGCAGCCGCGGUAAUACAGAGGUCUCAAGCGUUGUUCGGAAUCACUGGGCGUAAGGCGUGCGUAGGCUGUUUCGUAAGUCGUGUGUGAAAGGCGCGGGCUCAACCCGCGGACGGCACAUGAUACUGCGAGACUAGAGUAAUGGAGGGGGAACCGGAAUUCUCGGUGUAGCCGUGAAAUGCGUAGAUAUCGAGAGGAACACUCGUGGCGAAGGCGGGUUCCUGGACAUUAACUGACGCUGAGGCACGAAGGCCAGGGGAGCGAAAGGGAUUAGAUACCCUUGUAGUC